GAUGAACGCUGGCGGCGUGCCUAAUACAUGCAAGUCGAGCGAACGGACGAGAAGCUUGCUUCUCUGAUGUUAGCGGCGGACGGGUGAGUAACACGUGGAUAACCUACCUAUAAGACUGGGAUAACUUCGGGAAACCGGAGCUAAUACCGGAUAAUAUUUUGAACCGCAUGGUUCAAAAGUGAAAGACGGUCUUGCUGUCACUUAUAGAUGGAUCCGCGCUGCAUUAGCUAGUUGGUAAGGUAACGGCUUACCAAGGCAACGAUGUAUAGCCGACCUGAGAGGGUGAUCGGCCACACUGGAACUGAGACACGGUCCAGACUCCUACGGGAGGCAGCAGUAGGGAAUCUUCCGCAAUGGGCGAAAGCCUGACGGAGCAACGCCGCGUGAGUGAUGAAGGUCUUCGGAUCGUAAAACUCUGUUAUUAGGGAAGAACAUAUGUGUAAGUAACUGUGCACAUCUUGACGGUACCUAAUCAGAAAGCUACGGCUAACUACGUG
rnacentral:rRNA from 1 species